UACGUAGGGUGCAAGCGUUAAUCGGAAUUACUGGGCGUAAAGCGUGUGCAGGCGGUUUUGUAAGUCUGAUGUGAAAUCCCCGGGCUCAACCUGGGAAUUGCAUUGGAGACUGCAAGGCUAGAAUCUGGCAGAGGGGGGUAGAAUUCCACGUGUAGCAGUGAAAUGCGUAGAGAUGUGGAGGAACACCGAUGGCGAAGGCAGCCCCUUGGGUCAAGAUUGACGCUCAUGCACGAAAGCGUGGGGAGCAAACAGG
rnacentral:rRNA from 1 species